CCCUAUUGCAGUUAAAGGUUUUUGGUUUUAAACCAAGAUGAGGAGGUGAACCAUUUUGGUCGACCCCAUUGAGACAAAGACUGCAUUCUGCAAGUACUUUCUCUGCCAACCCCGAUAAUCCAAUGGGAGGAGGGAGGGAGCGCCGAAGACUGUCAAAACCCUAAACCUAAAUCCCUUAUUUCAUUUCAACACUUGCACCUUUCUUCUUUUUCUUCUAUGUGAAGCCGUAUGUUUCUUCUCUGUCCAUUUCUAUUUCUUUGAGAAAGGUAGGAGGGCUUCUUCCCUCAAGAAGGGGUUGGCACGGUCUCGGGUUGAAGGGCAAAAAUCAAGGCAGUGGAAGGGAUAUGGUUCUAGUCUGGACGUCAGCAGAGGUGGGAACUCUAUCAACAGCUACCAGACAACCUAGAUAGCCUGAGAAGAGGCGCUUGCUUACUGCACAAUACUCAACAGCUUCGAAGUGGAUCUUUGUUGUAGGUCUCUCUCUCCUCUCUCUAGUUUUUUUUUUUUUUUUGUUUUGUUUUUUGUUUUUUGUUUUUUUUUAAAUAGAGGGAUCAAAAUCAAAUGGUGAAUAAAGUGUUAGUACUGCACUGCAAAUGACUCGCAACGUUAUCUCUGGUUAAUCAUGGUAAAACCAUUUACAAAUGGAGCCCGAUAUUGAUCCUAUAAUGGUUCAGAUUCAACUUAAUAUAAAAAAAAGAGAUCACGAACCAAUGGGAUAUGGAGUUAGUUGGUGUGAUAUAUUCUAAAAAUUUCAGUUACCACAGUCAUCGCAGUACUCUAAUCUGACUUUGUAUUGAAACCAUGGACGUGCACUAAAGUUGAUGGAUCCCACAUUUUCGUUUUUGAAAAUGUCAUUCUUUUCCGAAUACAUAAAAGGUUUAAAAGAGCAUGUCAUUUUAGAUGAGUCUGAUAAGCCUCUUUCAUUCUGAUGAACUACAACAUAUGAUCAGGAGCAUAGUGAAAAGUUUAGAAGAUAUACGGAAAUUUAAUUUGUCGAUUGCAAAUAUUCAGAGUUCUGUUGUCAUAACAAAUUGUAAUAAAAUUAAGUAUAUUCAAUUUACCGGAGGAAUUGGUAAGUGUAACAUGAAGAAAAUUCACUUUAUUA